CACUGACAAGGAACCUGGUCUCAAAUGAGGGUAAGGCGAGUGGGGCCAAGAAUUAGGUAAGGUGAGGCAGAAGUGGGUGAAAACCCCACCCGGUGACAGUUUGGGAACUAAGCAUCCCCUGCACUGGCCACUCCUGCAGUCGUCUCCAGUCUCACUUACAACCUGCUGAAACACUCCAGUCAUGAUCAAACUAUUGAAGUGCCAGACAGUGUUGUUGAAGUGCACAGCAUUCUUCUACAUGUUCACAAUAAAUCACAGAAUUGGCAAGCCUUUUCCCAGUACAAAUAUUUUGAUUGCAAAGAUGAUGAUUAAACUGUAUCUUAUAAAAUGGCCCACUGAUUCAUAUAAGUGGGAGCAUCAAUCCAGUGGUAGAGAGACAAUAUUUACUAAUGGAUCCCUGCGACUCUUUAAUGUCACCCAGAAAGAUACAGGAUGCUUCAGCAUGCAAACCUUUGAUACAUAUCAUCAAAGUGAACAAACAAAUGCCUAUACCAUGCAUCACCCAGCAGGUGUUUCCUUGUAACUUCUGGAUACUGGAU
rnacentral:lncRNA from 1 species